ensembl:snRNA U6 U6 spliceosomal RNA
GUACUUUAGCAGCACAUUCACUAAAACUCAAACGACACCAACAAGACUGCCAUGGCACCCGUACAAGGAUGACAUGCAAAUUUGUGAAAUGUUCCAUUAAAAA